rnacentral:rRNA from 1 species
GACGAACGCUGGCGGCGUGCUUAACACAUGCAAGUCGAGCGGUAAGGCACCUUCGGGUGUACACGAGCGGCGAACGGGUGAGUAACACGUGAGCAACCUGCCCUUCUCAUCGGAAUAAGCGUUGGAAACGACGUCUAAUGCCGAAUACGACUUCGGACCGCAUGGUCUGAAGUGGAAAGCUCCGGCGGAGAAGGAUGGGCUCGCGGCCUAUCAGCUAGUUGGUGUGGGUAACGGCCCACCAAGGCGACGACGGGUAGCCGGCCUGAGAGGGUGACCGGCCACACUGGGGACUGAGACACGGCCCAGACUCCUACGGGAGGCAGCAGUGGGGAAUAUUGGACAUGGCGAAGCCUGAUCCAGCAACGCCGCGUGAGGGAUGACGG